UACCACUUCUACUGUAGGUGCUUAUUACUAUAAAAUUAUUACUGGGUGCGUCUAUUUUUACGCUGCUAUCGCACUCGCUAUCUGAUGACUAUUAUUCAGAUGCAAAAUUACCGUUGGAUAGAUCCUGUGUGUGCGGACGACGUACAUUCAACGAUCUUCGUUAAAUAAGAACGCCUAUUAUAGUCGGCCUUUACUACCUGCGACUACAUCUUAAAUCUCCAGAAAAUUUUAUCAUAUCUCUUUGGUCAGUUUAAUGUUUCGUCUCAGUCGCGCAUCAUUCCCAGUACAUCUCAACAAGCUACACGAAACAGAGACUAGUUCAUGCGUUUCCGUAACGCUCCCCCUUGGCGUCACUAGUAUCCGCCUGCCGGCUACUGAAGCAAUCAGUACGAAUGUAUUACCACCGCUAGUAAUAGCUGGGCUGAUGAAGGCUUCGAAAAUCGCCUGUUUUCGUUUCGAUGUCGACCCCGAAGUAUAGCGCUAACCAAAUAGUUGCCUUCACCUGAGACGAAGUAUGGUAGCUCUGUGUUCUGAUUUAACUAUCACUUCAACGCAUGGCAUACGCUUACCGUCAAAGAUUACCGUGCGUUUAAACUGUCAGUGCUCCCCUCUGCGUCUCACUGAUCUACGUAUUUCAUUGUAUUGACUAUCGCAUCAGCAAGCUCUUGCCGGUUCCGCCGCUCGAGCGCCGAUGCCAAGAUUAAUUUCGAAUAGUACAGGCGCGUUGAUGCUGGGUCGGACGAUAGGUGCCUAUUGCCGAUUAUCCCUGCCCAGUCAUUUGUGACAGGUACUACGAUUAUAGUUGUUGCCGCCGCCGCCGCCGCCGCCGCCGCCGCUGUUGUUGAUGCUACUGUGACUUUAGUCGGCCGCCAACCAGGAGCGACAGCGCAGUGGCCAAAGCAGAACAGAAGCGUCACCCACUGACUUAUUGACUGACCACGAAACACCACGACCGUCGCAACAACUACAGCAGUGUGAGCCGCCGUGACUAAAGCGGUGUCUCGAUAUCAGCAGAAGCAGCUGCAGGAGCCUUCGUCGAUGCGUGGUACGGAGGAGAGCAAAAAAGCGUAACUGAUGGGAGAAAAGAGUGGUCCGUUGUCAGCCUGAUUGAGUCAGCUUUGCUGCGAGCGCGUUUUCGCCAUCUAUUGCUCUCUCUCACGCUCUGCAUGUAGAUAUAUGCAUGCUUUAUAUCGUUUUGCCUGCACUAUAUGCAGACGGAGCGGAUAGAAAUAGCGGAACACGAACGCAGCCAUGCGCCGGUCGUAUAGCCUCUGCACAACAACAAACGGAGGGAUAGAGGCGCUCGUAGGCCUUUCGCUAGGACACAAUUCAAUAGACAUUGGCUUCGGAACAGAUCGAGGAACGGCCGAUGACUGAACGAAAUGAAAGUACAGCUAGAGCAUUAAAUUGGACUUGUAGAAGUACCGCGAGCUGCAGCAGAGCCGGACACAAAAGCCGUAAAAGAGAAAGGAAAAGGCUUCCCUGGCUUAGGGGAUCAACAAAAGAAAACACAGAAAAUCAUCAUCCGCGAUCUGCUUUGACAAUGUCGCCUGCUCUAGCGCGCUCCAAUGGAGUACUCGAAAUUUCACAUAUGGUACUUACAGCGGUAUUAUGGUCAGUCGGAUUGGCAGCUGUUAUUAUGGGGUCGUUGCUACUCACGGACUCGCGCAUGAGUGGCCUUCAAACUCUGCGGCACUUCGGACCUCUCCAAAGCGCAUCGAUCCUCGUCGUAGUGAUUGGUGUUCUUGUUAUCGUUUUGGGAAUUAUCGGCUGCCUCGGUGUGAACGCCCGCAGCCGACCUCUGCUGUUAAUUUUCUCUUUCUUCCUCGUAUGCCACAUGAUCCUCGAGAUUGCCUGCUGCAUUCUAACCUGGUAUUACAAGCGGGGCACUACGCUGGAGAAAAGACUACAGAGUCUGAUCGACCGCGUGAUUCAGCAGUAUGGAGAUGGCAGGAUUGAAUACAUAUCAGGCGACGAAGACUGGAGUUUCAACAGGAAUGAGCUAAGCUUUGUCGAGUAUACGUUGCAAUGCUGUGGAUCCACAAGAGGCGUGGACGACUACAUCAGCCGAAAGAUUUCUAUACCUCAAAGUUGUUACAAUCGAAACUACAUCAAUUACGAUUAUGACGAAAGUUAUAACCAAGGAAUGUACAAUGACGUCAGUUGCGUGAAGACCCUUCAGGAUUUCCUGUACAGACACGGGUUAGCUCUUGGCCUAUUAUGCGUCCUUGCUCUUGUGCUUGAGAUAGGUCUGUUAGUCCUGUCGAUGGUCCUGGCUGAUCGUGCCAUGUCUAAUACUUCCCCAAAGAUGAAGGAAAGCAGCCCACAACAGAAGCCAACAGGAUAUGCUUCGGUAACCCAAACAUAUCAACCAUCGCAACCCGAUCAUCGCGAGCAUGUUCCUGUCGAACAGACACAAUCAGAAUACCUUCAAUCGUCAGAUCCUUACCAAAAAUCGAUUUUUUCCGAGGAUGUCUAGGUGGAGUUUGGUAAACCCAACUCGAUCUGUGUAACUUCGAUCCUAUAAAUCUAUCGUGGUCAAUUUAGAGGAUAUGAAGUUGGACUAGAAAGAUAUUUUCGCUUGUUUUGACUCAGUCAAAAUUUAUCUAUUAAGUAAAAUUGUUGUGUCGAGCUAUAAUAACAUAUAGGUCAUCCCCUUGUCAAUGUCUGUCUAUCACUAUAUUGAUUCGUAGGAUAGCGCCCGACUACUGCCAUAAUUGCAAACGAACAUACAUAGCUGGUAUUGGAGCAUUGAAUAUGGUUUCUGCAGACAGUUACGCACGCAGGGUGCAUGCGUCAUGCAUAGUAGCAUACAUAACAUAACAUAGUAACAAGCGGUGCAAGACAGAAGACGUUGAUUUUUGACAUAUUCAUCGUAUCUGUACACUCGUGACUCUAGCGCAUGGUUCAAUACAACUGGAACAACUUGUACCAAGUUCUGUAGACGGCAGAUAGUUGCGCCGCUAUGUCAUAGUUCCAUUGGUUGCCAUUAUAGAGGAUGCGCUGUUUGAUUCCGGUAACUUACUGAUCGGAGUGAACGAAAAUAUUAAACAGCACCUGCUGAACUUCCGGCGCAAGCCUAUUCGAUUUUGAUAAGUGUCCUUUUUUCGGACAGACUCAAGACCGAAACAAUACUACAACGUCAUCGUAAUAGUAGUUUCUCUUUACGAAAUGUCAAAAUUAGUUUUUUAAUCGAAGUAAGUUACACAAAUACAUCUACGAUGAACAAUUCCAAUAAGUUCGUGGUGAGGAACUCUCUUUGCCGACCGCCACGUUAAGAUAGUGUGAAUGUUAGUAAAUAUGGAAAUGAAGCAGAUUGUGUAUGUGAAAUGUCUUUGUAUUUGAAAAUUUGGUGGAAUUUCUUGUUUAUCGAAGGUCGCUGAGAGCGUCCAGCUAGUAGGUAGAUAAUACACACUGAAAUCGUAUAGUUUACCCUGCUAAUGUAAGGUACAAGCGCAGUUUAACUGUAUAUGCAGAGUCAAUUUCCAGACACCAUAUACAUACUUAUGGCCCCGUGUGUCGAAACGUGUUGAUAGUUAUGAUAGUGGGUAUGUUUAUAUCUCAGUUCCCAUGCAAUAUACAUGGCAACCUGUUAAAUCUAACAAUUCGCCAUGCACAAAUAUCUCAAUAGUAAUCUUGUGGGGAGCCCCAUCUCAUAAUAUUUAUUGUUCUUAAUUAGUGCUAUUAUUACUACAAUGGCAUAUCUUAGUAUUCGAUCUAAAAUCUAAUUCGUGAACCUUUAUGACAAUAUAUAUAUAAAGUACUGUAAAAGUUCACUUGCACAAUACCCAAAGGCCUAUUAUUGGCGUUAUCUAGCUUUUUUUUUUCUUUUUUUUGUUAUGAGUAGCAAGCGUCUGUACGAGAUCUGAAUUUUAAGUUUCCGUAAACAAUAUCUCUUGCAACUAUUGCUAGCGUAUUCCAUAUCGUUAGGCGUGACUGAUCAAAUCGGAAAAUGUAGGAGGAACUUACCUCACAUGAUGUUUACGUGAUUGCAUUUUUAACAGACGACAUCUUUCUCAUACAUUUAUCUGUCGCAUAUUUAUCGCUAAAUAAAAUAGUCAUUGUCUAGCCGGUAAUCGGAAAAGUAUUUCGUCUUGCUUGUCGUAUUUAGCACAGCAAAACGCUGUCAACUAAUAUGUACUCUAUUCCCUUUUUGUCCUGCGUUCGGCAGUAUUUUGCAGCCACUCCUUUCAUUGUCUGAAUUGGUGAUCGACAAGACGCACCAGGUUCGCUGUGUAAGGCAGAAAUUAUAUACAAGAGUACGUCUAUGUAUUCAAUGUUCGUAGUGAUAGUAGGAAUAAACGCAAAUUACGUAGUUGAAAGAGAACUGCAGUACCGUGCAGUGGGAGGUAGCAACGUCGCUGACGUCGUGAUGCAACGCGAGCAUCAACAUCGCAGAAGUCACUGUCCAACCGUAAAAAUGAUCUCAUCACAGAAAUAUAAGUUAUCACUUGACAACCCUGCAUUUUUUUAACGCUAACGUAGUCCCCCACUCGACUAUCAUUAACACACAUUACAGAUAAACGGAGUAAUAACAAUCACACAGAUUUCCUGAAUUUGUCUCGAAUCUAGAUGAAAAAUGUUCAGCUGCUCUGAGAACGAAACCACUUCAACCAGUUUUUGUUGAACGUCCGAAACUGUGUUAGUAUUGUAUCAGACGGCUGAUCACUAAACAAGCGCGUCUGUUCAAGCGAAGAUUGAAACAGGCCGAUGCUCUCCCAUACCCAAUCACCAGAGGAUCUAAAAUUAUAAUGAAGAUCGUCAAAAGACAGAAGAUGAUGAAGCGUUCGUUUUCUGCGGCCACAACCAGCAUUUGGCUUUAACUGAUUACACGAUAGCCGCCCGCUGACGGAACAACAACUGUUAGGGCGACCCCAGCUGUAUUGACUGGCGACAUCGCUAGCCAAGAGCAACUGCUUUCAUCACCACCAGCAGCAGCAGCAGCAGCAGCAGCAGCAGCACCAGCAGCAGCAGUAGCAGCAGCACCAGCAGCAGUAGCAGCAGCAUUCAAACAAGAAACAAGCGACGUUCUGGUAACGGUCAGUCUGGUGGCCAGCUGUGAUGCAACGGUUGUUGUACCCCCUUCCUCCCGCACCGAUCGAUUCUCCCUCGAGCUACGUUAACUGCCCUCUCUGCCUCACCCCAUCGGUCGGUUCAGUCAGUAUUUUCCCAAGUUUCUGCCGCCCCUGAUAUACACAGACGCUGUAUAGAUAUGAUCAUCAUCAUCAUCAUCGAUGCACGCAUCACAAUCAGGAUCAUUGGAGCGUUUAUCCACUGGGCUAUUUUGUAGCGAUUAUUCAUUAAGAAAUAAUGCGGCGUUCUAGACAUCGACAUCCCGACAUUCUCCGGCCUUAAAAAGGAUUUUUACGAUUUGACCGAUUUCAAACAGCCUCCCUCGUUUGACCAUUGCAUCAAAACACCGAAGCCUCCGAAGAGGGCAGCGGGAGUUUAAGCUAUUUUAGAAUGGCUCGUCUUGCAAAACAGCUCCUUAAACGUCCUUAUUCUCUGUUAGCAAUUACAUGACGCGCUUCUAUGGCGUCUCGCAAAGAUGAUAUCUUUCCGCACUCGUCAGUUACUCAAGAUCCAAUGAAAUUUUAUUGUAGCAUUUCUACGAUACCUGCACUAUAUAAUUUAGUUGAACGAAAUGACAAUGGUAGUUAUUUCAUAAAUAGACGCUAAGAAGACUCGUAUUGUUAAAACUCGUUCUUCACUAGCAGCUAGAAACGACAAAUCAUCUAACUUCAACUUUGAACUACAUCAUAACGAUGUCUAUACAAUGUUUACUUCUCACGGAGACUACAGUAACCUGUCAAAUCGUUAGCGAUUAUCAUAUCGUUUUGGGCUAACCAAAUAUUGUACCGUGACACCUCAAAACUGCUAUGUUUUAUGUGAGAAAUGGCUUUGGGAGUGAGGGGAGCGUCGGUGCGCUGGCCGCUAACAUAAGUCAUUAGUCAUUAACAUCGAGCAUCGCAUUGACAUUUGUCGUUUUCCCGCUGCCAUAUCCUGCAGCGGUCGUCGUCGUCGCCAUUCCUGGAUUUACGGCGUCGAGAAGUCAGGAAUGGCCCCCUGGGUUCGCAAGUGUCAAGUUUGUUGCUGUGAUGACCGCUCUGCAGGCAAUCAGCGUCGCUAAGGCAAUAUUGCUUAGCGGCAAUAGCGUCAAGCUAUCGUCCGUCGGACGCUGUCGAAUUUUUCAGCUCGUUCGUCUGUUGCUUCCUAUAUCGUUUCUUCAGCCACAUAUACACGCUUGUAACUUGAUUUGUAGUUACAGUUAUUUUUGGUAUUUUUGAAGAAAAGCAAAGGUCGACGGUAGCCUCAACAGUAGCCCUUAAUGUCAGGCGCGCUGCCGCAAAACCAAUAUAAGGACAACUCUUAACAAAUAUGCAUUGGCAUCAAAGAAAUAACAACUUUCCUCGUACGCGUUAAUCCUGCAGAACUUGGCAGUGUACUACAUAGAAAAAGGAUACUCCUUCAGAAGUUGAUUGUUAAGAAACGUUAGCACACUAUUGAAUAAGACUACGGACAACUCGAGAUUUUCUACCGCACCCACAAGUUCAACGUAUGUUGAUGAUGUCUCUACUUUCGACCGUGCGCUUUCGUCAUACGUCGAGUCAACUAGCAGGAAAGCGCUAAAACGGGACAAAUUGUAAAAACAAAAACAGAAAAAUUGUAAGCACUUUAGGCUUCGGCAACGCCACAGAGUUAGCGCGCGCAGUAACGUCUAGCUGCUUUGCUCAGCGAUUUUUUCUCUAAGCGUCUUAGUUAAAGCCGACAUACAAGUGAGCAGUAUAAUCGCCCGAGUUGGGAAAAUUAAGCAGUCUUGAUUUUAGAACUCCGAUACUAAAUUUAAUCCCACCCGGGACCACUCAGGGGGUUUGUUGCUGCGCGCCUAAUAGCAAA